GAGUUUGAUCAUGGCUCAGGAUGAACGCUGGCGGCGUGCUUAACACAUGCAAGUCGAACGAACCUUCGGGUUAGUGGCGGACGGGUGAGUAACGCGUGAGAAUCUGCCCUCAGGAGGGGGAUAACAGCUGGAAACGGCUGCUAAUACCCCAUAUGCCGCGAGGUGAAAUGAAUUUCGCCUGAGGAUGAGCUCGCGUCUGAUUAGCUAGUUGGUGUAGGUAAUGGCUCACCAAGGCAUCGAUCAGUAGCUGGUCUGAGAGGAUGAUCAGCCACACUGGGACUGAGACACGGCCCAGACUCCUACGGGAGGCAGCAGUGGGGAAUUUUCCGCAAUGGGCGAAAGCCUGACGGAGCAACGCCGCGUGAGGGAUGAAGGCCUCUGGGCUGUAAACCUCUUUUAUCAAGGAAGAAGAUCUGACGGUACUUGAUGAAUAAGCCACGGCUAAUUCCGUGCCAGCAGCCGCGGUAAUACGGGAGUGGCAAGCGUUAUCCGGAAUUAUUGGGCGUAAAGCGUCCGCAGGCGGCCCUUCAAGUCUGCUGUUAAAAAGUGGAGCUUAACUCCACCAUGGCAGUGGAAACUGAGGGGCUUGAGUGUGGUAGGGGCAGAGGGAAUUCCCGGUGUAGCGGUGAAAUGCGUAGAUAUCGGGAAGAACACCAGUGGCGAAGGCGCUCUGCUGGGCCAUCACUGACGCUCAUGGACGAAAGCCAGGGGAGCGAAAGGGAUUAGAUACCCCUGUAGUCCUGGCCGUAAACGAUGAACACUAGGUGUCGGGGGAAUCGACCCCCCUCGGUGUCGUAGCCAACGCGUUAAGUGUUCCGCCUGGGGGAGUACGCACGCAAGUGUGAAACUCAAAGGAAUUGACGGGGGCCCGCACAAGCGGUGGAGUAUGUGGUUUAAUUCGAUGCAACGCGAAGAACCUUACCAGGGUUUGACAUCCUGCGAAUCUCUUGGAAACGAGAGAGCGCCUUCGGGAGCGCAGUGACAGGUGGUGCAUGGCUGUCGUCAGCUCGUGUCGUGAGAUGUUGGGUUAAGUCCCGCAACGAGCGCAACCCACGUCUUUAGUUGCCAGCAUUUAGUUGGGCACUCUAGAGAGACCGCCGGUGAUAAACCGGAGGAAGGUGUGGAUGACGUCAAGUCAUCAUGCCCCUUACAUCCUGGGCUACACACGUACUACAAUGCUACGGACAAAGGGCAGCAAGUUCGCGAGGACAAGCAAAUCCCAUAAACCGUGGCUCAGUUCAGAUCGUAGGCUGCAACUCGCCUACGUGAAGGAGGAAUCGCUAGUAAUCGCAGGUCAGCAUACUGCGGUGAAUACGUUCCCGGGCCUUGUACACACCGCCCGUCACACCAUGGAAGUUGGCCACGCCCGAAGCCGUUACUCCAACCCUUGUGGAGGAGGACGUCGAAGGUGGGGCUGAUGACUGGGGUGAAGUCGUAACAAGGUAACC
rnacentral:rRNA from 1 species